AGGGGAGUGAGCAGACACACUCAGGAGGUGUCUUGAGAUUAUCAUCCGCUGAGGGUGGAGCUGAGGGUGGAAGGGGAGUGAGCAGACACUCGGGAGGUGUCUUGAGAUUAUCAUCCGCUGAGGGUAGAGCUGAGGGUGGAAGGGGAGUGAGCAGACACUCGGGAGGUGUCUUGAGAUUAUCAUCCGCUGAGGGUGGAAGGGGAUAGAGCACACACUCGGAAGGUGUCUUGAGAUUAUCAUCCGCUGAGGGUAGAGCUGAGGGUGGAAGGGGAGUGAGCAGACACUCGGGAGGUGUCUUGAGAUUAUCAUCCGCUGAGGGUGGAAGGGGAUAGAGCACACACUCGGAAGGUGUCUUGAGGCUCAGGGAGUUAUCAAUUAUAGAAUGUUGUUG
rnacentral:lncRNA from 1 species